UGACCAUAUCACACUGAAACACUGGUUCUUGUAUGAUCACUGUAGUUAAGCAACAUCAAGCCUAGUCAGUACCUAGAUGGGUGACUGUUUGGGGAUACCAGGUGGUGUA